rnacentral:rRNA from 1 species
AGAGUUUGAUCCUGGCUCAGGAUGAACGCUGGCGGCGUGCUUAACACAUGCAAGUCGAACGAUUAACCCGCCCUCGGGCGGUUAUAGAGUGGCGAACGGGUGAGUAACACGUGACCAACCUGCCCCUUGCUCCGGGACAACCCAGGGAAACCUCGGCUAAUACCGGAUACUCCGCGCAGCCCGCAUGGGCGGCGCGGGAAAGCCCAGACGGCAAGGGAUGGGGUCGCGGCCCAUUAGGUAGACGGCGGGGUAACGGCCCACCGUGCCCGCGAUGGGUAGCCGGGUUGAGAGACCGAUCGGCCACAUUGGGACUGAGAUACGGCCCAGACUCCUACGGGAGGCAGCAGUGGGGAAUUUUGCGCAAUGGGGGAAACCCUGACGCAGCAACGCCGCGUGCGGGACGAAGGCCUUCGGGUUGUAAACCGCUUUCAGCAGGGAAUAUAGUGAAGGUACCUGCAGAAGAAGCUCCGGCUAACUACGUGCCAGCAGCCGCGGUAAUACGUAGGGAGCGAGCGUUAUCCGGAUUCAUUGGGCGUAAAGCGCGCGUAGGCGGCCCGUCAAGCGGGGUUUCAAAUCCAGGGGCUCAACCUCUGGCCGGACCCCGAACUGGCGGGCUCGAGUGCGGUAGAGGAAGGUGGAAUUCCCAGUGUAGCGGUGAAAUGCGCAGAUAUUGGGAAGAACACCGAUGGCGAAGGCAGCCUUCUGGGCCGCCACUGACGCUGAGGCGCGAAAGCUAGGGGAGCGAACAGGAUUAGAUACCCUGGUAGUCCUAGCCGUAAACGAUGGGCACUAGGUGUGGGGGAGCAUCUUCUGCGUGCAGCAGCCAACGCAGUAAGUGUCCCUCGGGGGGGGAGUGCGGAUGGAAGGAUACAAGUCAAAGGACUUGUUGGGGGUUCGCGCCAGCAGGGGAGCAUGUGGCUUAAUUGGUAGCUACGGGGAGAUCCCUUGCUGGGGUGGACAUGCAGGUGAAGGGGUGGAAGUGAGGUGAUCGAGAUGAGCGCGGGCAGGUGGUGCAGGGCAGUGGUUAGGUGGUGUAGGGAGAGGAUGGGUUAAGUCAUGCGCAGAGCGCAUCUCCUGUCGCGUGUGGCCAGCCAUGAGUGGGGGAGUCGCGAGAGGUUUCCGGCGUCGAACGGGGGGAAGGAGGGGAAGGCGAUAAGUGAUCGUGCGCUCUAUCCUUAGGCACGCCCGCGUGUUCCAAUGACGGGUACGGCGGGUAGUGUCGCGCGGGAGGGGGAGCGGAUCCCUCUAAGCCGCCCCCAGUUGGGAUGGCCGGGAGCAAUUCGCGUGAGUGAAGCGGCAGUAGAGAGUAAUCGAGGAUCAGCACGAGGCGGGGAAUAAGUU